rnacentral:rRNA from 1 species
UACGUAGGGGGCAAGCGUUUGUCCGGAUUUAUUGGGCGUAAAGAGCGUGUAGGCGGUUUGGUAGGUCCGCUGUGAAAACUCGAGGCUCAACCUCGAGACGCCGGUGGAAACCAUCAGGCUAGAGUCCGGAAGAGGAGAGUGGAAUUCCUGGUGUAGCGGUGAAAUGCGCAGAUAUCAGGAGGAACACCGUGCGGAAGGCGGGUCUCUGGCGGUAACUGGACGCUGAGGAGCGAAGACAUGGGGAGCGAACAGG